GAUGAACGCUGGCGGCGUGCCUAAUACAUGCAAGUCGAGCGAAUGGAUUAAGAGCUUGCUCUUAUGAAGUUAGCGGCGGACGGGUGAGUAACACGUGGGUAACCUGCCCAUAAGACUGGGAUAACUCCGGGAAACCGGGGCUAAUACCGGAUAAUAUUUUGAACUGCAUGGUUCAAAAUUGAAAGGCGGCUUCGGCUGUCACUUAUGGAUGGACCCGCGUCGCAUUAGCUAGUUGGUGAGGUAACGGCUCACCAAGGCAACGAUGCGUAGCCGACCUGGGAGGGUGAUAGGCCACACUGGGACUGAGACACGGCCCAGACUCCUACGGGAGGCAGCAGUAGGGAAUCUUCCGCAAUGGACGAAAGUCUGACGGAGCAACGCCGCGUGAGUGAGGAAGGCUUUCGGGUCGUAAAACUCUGUUGUUAGGGAAGAAUAAGUGCUAGUUGAAUAAGCUGGCACCUUGACGGUACCUAACCAGGAAGCCACGGCUAACUACGUGCCAGCAGCCGCCGUAA
rnacentral:rRNA from 1 species